rnacentral:rRNA from 1 species
UGGGGAAUUUUGGACAAUGGGCGCAAGCCUGAUCCAGCAAUGCCGCGUGCAGGAUGAAGGCCUUCGGGUUGUAAACUGCUUUUGUACGGAACGAAACGGCUCUGUCUAAUACAUUGGGCUAAUGAUGGUACCGUAAGAAUAAGCACCGGCUAACUACGUGCCAGCAGCCGCGGUAAUACGUAGGGUGCAAGCGUUAAUCGGAAUUACUGGGCGUAAAGCGUGCGCAGGCGGUUAUGCAAGACAGAGGUGAAAUCCACGGGCUCAACCUGGGAACUGCCUUUGUGACUGCAUAGCUAGAGUACGGAAGAGGGGGAUGGAAUUCCGCGUGUAGCAGUAAAAUGCGUGGAUAUGCGGAGGAACAACGGUGACGAAGGCAAUCCCCUGGACCUGUACUGACGCUCAUGCACGAAAGCGUGGGGAGCAAACA